rnacentral:sRNA from 1 species
CAACAUCCGUGCAUCCAGCAAGACAUGCAUGCAUCCAUCUAUGCAUCCACCCAUUGCAUACUGCAGGCAACAGUCAGUCAGGAAGCAGCUGAUCAAAAGGCAUCCUUACUUAUUUCACAGCCAAACUCCCUUUCCUUUUCAAUCUCUUUACAAUACGAGUUAUCUUGUCACAUUGCCAAUGAAGAAAGAGACCCAGGGGCUUGCUUAAGGUCGGGCAAUGAUUAAUGGUGGAAGCCAGCCGGACCCAACGGUGCAUCCCCUGCAAUAGACAGUCAUCUGAACUCUACCAAACAAGCCAUUCCAGGACACCUCCUCUGACCCAAUCUCCCUUCCCUGGCUCAGCUCCACUAAGCCCUCUACACAGUGUUUAAGGGUCCCCACUCCUACUAAGUGCUUUGAUGCUGUCUGUGUCCAUAUUUCCCUGCACUAAGAAAAUCCUAACCAGCAAGCACUGCCUCCUGGGGGUCGAGGACUGUGAUUCCCUGUGGAACCCCUUCCAUCCUUCCGCAUCCACUAUGUUGGUUUUCCAGUAUGUAUUUGGCUCCUGUUGGUUGUCUGGUUUGGCUUUGGCCUCCACUCACUAACACAUCUGAAUAUUAAUUCAUCGGGGUUGGGUACCCGCUAAACCACAUUAUGUUUGAUGCUGCAGUCAGGACAGAGCCAAAAAACUAUGCCCCAAGAGCCUGAAUUAUAGGAGAGAGAAACAGCCAGGACUGGAAUUUUAGGAGAGUGACUGGGGACAGGCAUGGUGGCAGAGGCCACAGAAAAAGGAGAGUGUCCAGGACAUCAGAGUGGGGUAGGGUAGCAUCACAGUGGCAGCCAAUGAAUGAAGAUAAACACUGUGGGAGCCAAAGCAGACCUAGAUGAGAGUUGGAGUCUGAAUUAACACCAGGGUGACUGUGGAAUUACUCCCUGAUAUUUCAUUUACCGAGUUUCAAAGGGACCUUUUCUGCCAUUACCACCUUCUUCCACCAAAGAAUUAGUUAAGGGAUGCUCCACUGGCUUAGACUCUGUAGUUGGCUUCUCUCACUAGAUCAUAUAUGUUUUACAAUUUAAUAGGGAACUGGGGAGACAUUUCUCUUACAAAUACUCGCUUUAUAAAGAAGGUGGAUGAUAAGAAGGAAAAGAAAUCACUUAUUGGUAUCAUUACCUCUUCAUUUUGCUAAACAAGACAAACUGACACAGCAAGAACCUCAAAACUGAAUACAAGGAACGAAUGUGUCCUUGUGCUUUUUUCUGCCUUGUUCUAGAACAUCUCAAAUGUUACUUUUACCUUUCUGACACGUAAUGCUAAAGUACAGCUUUGAGGUUUGGGUAAUAAGACAAAGAAAUGCAGAUAUUAAUAUGGUUUCAAGAAAAAAAAA